rnacentral:lncRNA from 10 species
CGAGAUCACGCCACUGAACUCCAGCCUGGGAGUGAGAGUGAGACUCCGUCUAAAAAAAAAAAAAAAAACUCUACACUAGAUGCAACUCAUUCUAAAGAACAGACUUAUUAAAAAGUGACACCUCCCCAUCCUGACUUGAUGAUUUCUUCAUGGAGCAGUGGAAAGAACGUAGUCCAGAAAUUAGAAGGUUUUGGUCCAUGGCACAGCUGAGCACUGACAACACAUCCUUCCCUGGGCUUAUUCCAUCUGAGAGGGAGAUGCACAUGUAUGAUUUCUUCUACGGUCAUUCUGAAGAUCGGUGUCAUCAAUAAUUUGGGCUUGGGACUAUCCAGUUUCACAGGGGCAUUCAGUUGAUUGAAAAUCCAAUAUCAAUAUUGUUUAUAGUAUCAAAACAAUCUACCGAUCAAAGUCUCUAAAAUUACUACAAAAACCUAUUUGAUAUCCUAUGGCAUUGCCCAAUUUAAAUUAUUUAUAAAAUAUGCAGUAAAUGUGUAUGCCAGAAAAUCAAUGUCCUAGGCAUUGACUCCUAAUUAAUUGUUUGAAAUAUUUUCAUAAUAGUGAAUGAGCACAGUGUUUGCCUGACCUCUACGAGGAAGAGGAGGAAGUAGAAGCAGAACAAAGGAAAGGAGGAAGAGGAAGAGAAAUAAGAAAGGCUGAGAGGGUUGAAAGACUUUAAGGGGGGCUAGUAAGAAAAUUGUAGGCCUCUAGAAUUGUACACAGGCCAGCCUUUCCUUCUCAUCUACUUCACUUUCCUAAAAAUCAAUUUUAAGCUAGACAAAAAAUGUGCAGAGACCAACUUUAAGUGGAUCCAAGGCAGUAAUUUGAGCUGAUUCCAUCAAAUUAUAGAUGCAUGAGAAGCAUGCAUUUUCUAAAGAAUAACAACGCUGCAACAAACAUUUUUGAAGGAACUACUAAAAUAUUUCCAUCUCUAAACUCAUCCUCUUCCACUUCAGAUGAUUUCUUUUCCAUUUCAUUCUAUUCUCUGAAGCAAAAACCAGAGGAAAGAAAUCUGAUGGAAUGAAAUUCUGCUAGCAACCAUCUGAAAGUAUAAAUGAGGGAGAAAGUCCAAGAUUUAAAAAUUCAAGCAAAUUUUCUUGCCUGUUGGAAGGAAGAGCUCUCAAAUAAAGAGAUAAUCAAGAGACAUAUUACAGGGCAUCAAGAGCCAUGAAAGUAAAUCAGCAAACUGGAUAAUUUCUUGCAGAUUAGAAACAUCUCCCUGAAUCACAGUUGAAGCAAAGGGGAUGAUGCCAGGUCUGACUCCUACUUGGAAAAUCAUAAUCCCAUGUUUCCUCUUGCCUGGGCAACUGUGGAGCUGUGACAUGCCUGUGUGCAGCCCACUGCACAAUCAGCAGACCUCAGGCAAAUCCAGCUCCAAGCUGCACCUAGCACCUUUAAUGAAGUGACUGAUUAAAUAAAAGCAUCCCCCUUUUGUUAAGCAAUACUUUCUGAAGCAGCAUGG